rnacentral:misc_RNA from 1 species
UACGGAGGGGGCUAGCGUUGUUCGGAACUACUGGGCGUAAAGAGCGCGUAGGCGGAUUAGUAAGUUGGAAGUGAAAGCCCAAGGCUCAACCUUGGAACUGCUUUCAAAACUGCUAGUCUUGAGUGAAGUAGGGGGUGAUGGAAUUCCUAGUGUAGAGGUGAAAUUCUUAGAUAUUAGGAGGAACACCGGUGGCGAAGGCGGUCACCUGGGCUUCAACUGACGCUGAUGCGCGAAAGCGUGGGGAGCAAACAGG